ACAGUAUUAGUAUAAUUAAUAUUCUAUUUUUCCAAGAUAGGAAUCCUAUUUUUAGUAGGAUACUGUA
rnacentral:tRNA from 1 species